AGUGAACGCUGGCGGCAGGCCUAAUACAUGCAAGUCGAACGGCAGCACAGCAGAGCUUGCUCUGUGGGUGGCGAGUGGCGGACGGGUGAGGAAUACAUGGGAAUCUGCCCAGUCGUGGGGAUAACGUAGGGAAACUUACGCUAAUACCGCAUGCGCCCUUCGGGGGAAAGCCGGGGACCUUCGGGCCUGGCGCGAUUGGAUGAGCCCAUGUCGGAUUAGCUAGUUGGCGGGUAAUGGCCCGCCAAGGCGACGAUCUGCAGCUGGUCUGAGAGGAUGAUCAGCCACACUGGAACUGAGACACGGUCCAGACUCCUACGGGAGGCAGCAGUAGGGAAUAUUGGACAAUGGGCGCAAGCCUGAUCCAGCCAUGCCGCGUGAGUGAAGAAGGCCCUCGGGUUGUAAAGCUCUUUGUCCGGAAAGAAAGCGCCGGGUUAAUACCCUGGUGUCCUGACGGUACCGGAAGAAUAAGCACCGGCUAACUUCGUGCCAGCAGCC
rnacentral:rRNA from 1 species